rnacentral:misc_RNA from 1 species
AAGUCGUAACAAGGUCUCCGUAGGUGAACCUGCGGAGGGAUCAUUACAGAGUUCAUGCCCUUACGGGUAGAUCUCCCACCCUUGAAUACUAUACCUUUGUUGCUUUGGCGGGCCGCUUUGGCUGCUGGCUUCGGCUAGCGAGUGCCCGCCAGAGAACCCUAAACUCUCUGAAUAUUAGUGUCGUCUGAGUACUAUAUAAUAGUUAAAACUUUCAACAACGGAUCUCUUGGUUCUG